rnacentral:lncRNA from 1 species
AUGAGAGGCGCAAGCUGGGGCGGCGGGAAUGAGGAUUACAUAAGAAAGGAAAGUGACACCGUGGGAAGUGAAAACUGCUCUGGUCCUGGAAUCAUAAGACCUGAUUUGGAUCCUGGCUGUGUCAUGUACAAGCUGUGUGACCUUGAGCAAGUAGCUGAACAAUUUUAAGCUCCAUUUUUCUCCUCUAAAAAAAAAUGAAAGGUUUACAUUUUCCUAGUAUUGAUAGAAAAAAAAAUAGAAUGAAUGUGGUUUUAUUAUUUCAGCUGUGACUGAUGUUAUAUACCUGACGGCUAAGUUUCAACAAAGCCAAGAAGAGAUUGUGAAUGAGUUUUGGGAGUUAACACUAUGCUGUGAACUAACAUAUAUUCCCAUCUACUCUCUGACUACAACCUCAUCCUAGCUCACUUUGCCCUUUACAGUUGUCUUCUUUCAAUUCCUGAAACACAUCAAGGCAUACUAACCCAACCCUAGGCAUCUGCCCUGUUUUCUCCUCCUUCAAUGUCCUAGUCCUACUACUCCAUGUUGCUGUUUCUUUAAGUCAUUCAGCACUAAACCCAAGUGCAUCUUCCUUGGGGUAUCCUCCCCUAGUGUCCCAGGUACUGCUUACCACAUCAACUGGGUUCAUUUUCAUUUUUUUUUACUUUUUUCUAGUUGCUGUUUUCUUCAUUUGUUUGAUGUCUCUCUCCCCCAUCAUUACCAAGUAUAGAAUGUAGGCUCUAUGAGAGCAAGGAUCCUGUCUUGUUCUCUGGUAUGUCCCCAAUAUCUAGAACAGUACUCGUCACAUACUAGRUUCACAGUGUUUUUUGGAUGAGUGACAUGUGACAGUCUAUGUCACUAGAAGCCCAAGAUGCAUUGCAGCUCUCUCUCUAGUAAAUCAGAAUGAAAUCAGGUUACUUACAUGGUUUAACAUAAAGGAAAUGUAUACCCAAAAGAAAAGAUUAAUACUUCCUAUGCUCAUUAGCUUCAGAUUUGAUAUCCAAUCACAUCCCAAGUCCUUUUAUUUUGAUCUAAUAUCUCUCAGAUGAUUCCCUCUCUCUCUUUAAAACAUUACCAGUAACCUUUUAUGCCCACACUCAAAUUAUUCUCCUGACUUUAUUGUCUUUCUUUCCUUCAGACUAUCCUAGAUAGUAUUAUUAAAUGUAUUGCCUUAAAAUAAUAAAGUAGCAUUGAAACAAAUACCA